GAAGCUGCGCAGUCGUUUGCAGUUCCAUCGCUGCCGUGGCUGUGAGUGUGUUUCGGCGGCUACAUCUCAAUGUCGACGUUACGGGUAUUCUUCACCUCGAUACAAGCAACCUGGUGACGUAGGUGUGCUUCUCCUAAGCCUGACUUCUUGUUAGAAGUCUCCCUGUGAUGGAUCGUCCUUGUAAAGAACCAGUGGAUACAGCGAGUGCGCCUUCUUUUUUUUUCGUUAUUGAUCUAGGUGUUCGCUAUAGAGGAGUAACAACAGUUACUGCGAAAUACGUAGGAUCGAUGCUGCAAAAAGGGUUAACAAUUGACCGCGAAACCGUCGAAGAUGGCUCAGCGGCGAAUCCAAGUGCGGAUGAGAGAAGAAAUCGGCCACAUCCUCACGAAGAAUAAUCGCGACGUCUGCUUGAGGUUCGCGCCAGUAGCAGUGCAGCGCUCGCGAGGUGGGAAGGCUACCCGUGCAGCGCAGUCUCGACAGCGAGCAGCGUUGUGCAGCCUCUACAGCGGUCGGCGGCGGCCAGAUGAGGUGGAGGUGAGGCAAGGACUGGUUUGUCCAGUGGCGCUGGACCCGCGUCACCGUGUUUACGACGCUACUCUCCUGGAGGAGGGGAGAGUGGGGACAGAAAACACUCCUUGCAGCGCCACAUCGAAAACAAGGUGCCGUGUUUGCUUACGUUCACGUAACCACUGCAGAAUUUCCGCUGACAACUGUGGGUGUGGUUGCCCUGCCGUUGGCAACAAUACCAAUGAGGCUUUCUGCUACGUCACCUGGACGAAGGCGUGCAGUAAAUUCACACAAUCACACUACACUGCACAGAGGCUGUCCCAAACUUUAGGGUCAAAAUUGUAUAUAUAGUAGUGAAUUUUUAACUGAAUACGUUUAGAGAUUGAUUUAAUAGCUGAAAAUAAAUAUUUUGUUUAUUACUGA